GUCUAUGGCCAUGCCACCCUGAACAAGCCCAAUGUUUGAUCUCGGAAGCUAAGCAGGGUCGGGCCUGGUUAGUACUUGGAUGGGAGACCACCUAGGAAGACCAGGUGCUGUAGGCA
rnacentral:rRNA from 1 species